rnacentral:rRNA from 1 species
GCGAGUCACAUAGCAAUAUGUGGCAUACGGCUCAGUAACACGUAGUCAACAUGCCCAGGGGACGUGGAUAACCUCGGGAAACUGAGGAUAAACCGCGAUAGGUCAUCACUUCUGGAAUGGGUAAUGACUUAAAUCUAUAUGGCCCCUGGAUUGGACUGCGGCCGAUCAGGCUGUUGGUGAGGUAAUGGCCCACCAAACCUGUAACCGGUACGGGCUCUGAGAGGAGGAGCCCGGAGAUGGGCACUGAGACAAGGGCCCAGGCCCUAUGGGGCGCAGCAGGCGCGAAACCUCUGCAAUAGGCGAAAGCUUGACAGGGUUACUCUGAGUGAUUUCCGUUAAGGAGAUCUUUUGGCACCUCUAAAAAUGGUGCAGAAUAAGGGGUGGGCAAGUCUGGUGUCAGCCGCCGCGGUAAUACCAGCACCCCGAGUGGUCGGGACGUUUAUUGGGCCUAAAGCAUCCGUAGCCGGUUCUACAAGUCUUCCGUUAAAUCCACCUGCUUAACAGAUGGGCUGCGGAAGAUACUAUAGAGCUAGGAGGCGGGAGAGGCAAGCGGUACUCGAUGGGUAGGGGUAAAAUCCGUUGAUCCAUUGAAGACCACCAGUGGCGAAGGCGGCUUGCCAGAACGCGCUCGACGGUGAGGGAUGAAAGCUGGGGGAGCAAACCGGAUUAGAUACCCGGGUAGUCCCAGCUGUAAACGAUGCAGACUCGGUGAUGAGUUGGCUUAUUGCUAA